GAUGAACGCUGGCGGCGUGCCUAAUACAUGCCAGUCGAGCGAACAGACGAGGAGCUUGCUCCUCUGACGUUAGCGGCGGACGGGUGAGUAACACGUGGAUAACCUACCUAUAAGACUGGGAUAACUUCGGGAAACCGGAGCUAAUACCGGAUAAUAUAUUGAACCGCAUGGUUCAAUAGUGAAAGACGGUUUUGCUGUCACUUAUAGAUGGAUCCGCGCCGCAUUAGCUAGUUGGUAAGGUAACGGCUUACCAAGGCAACGAUGCGUAGCCGACCUGAGAGGGUGAUCGGCCACGCUGGAACUGAGACACGGUCCAGACUCCUACGGGAGGCAGCAGUAGGGAAUCUUCCGCAAUGGGCGAAAGCCUGACGGAGCAACGCCGCGUGAGUGAUGAAGGUCUUCGGAUCGUAAAACUCUGUUAUUAGGGAAGAACAAAUGUGUAAGUAACUAUGCACGUCUUGACGGUACCUAAUCAGAAAGCCACGGCUAACUACGUG
rnacentral:rRNA from 1 species